rnacentral:tRNA from 1 species
AGCAGUGUGAGUCAGUAGUGGAGCAUCUGCUUGGCAUGCUGAUGGUCCCAGAUUCAAUUCCUGGCAUCUCUAGCUA